GCGUCAUUAACUCAGCGGCUAGAGUAUCUGCCUCUUAAGCAGAGAGUCCUCGGUUCGAAUCCGAGAUGGCGCAC
rnacentral:tRNA from 1 species